AAAGUAGGGGAUCGCAAGACCUUGCGCUUUUGGAGUGGCCGAUGCCUGAUUAGCUAGUUGGUGGGGUAAGGGCCUACCAAGGCGACGAUCAGUAGUUGGUCUGAGAGGACGACCAGCCACACUGGGACUGAGACACGGCCCAGACUCCUACGGGAGGCAGCAGUGGGGAAUUUUGGACAAUGGGCGAAAGCCUGAUCCAGCAAUGCCGCGUGAGUGAAGAAGGCCUUCGGGUUGUAAAGCUCUUUCAGUCGAGAAGAAAAGGUUGCGACUAAUAAUCGCAACUUAUGACGGUAUCGACAGAAGAAGCACCGGCUAACUACGUGCCAGCAGCCGCGGUAAUACGUAGGGUGCGAGCGUUAAUCGGAAUUACUGGGCGUAAAGGGUGCGCAGGCGGCUCUGUAAGUCAGAUGUGAAAUCCCCGGGCUUAACCUGGGAAUUGCGUUUGAAACUACAAGGCUAGA
rnacentral:rRNA from 1 species